rnacentral:rRNA from 1 species
UUCGGGAGGACGCUUACCACUUUGUGGUUCAUGACUGGGGUGAAGUCGUAACAAGGUAGCGCUAGGGGAACCUGGCGCUGGAUCACCUCCUUAUACGA